GAUGAAGAACGUAGCAAAAUGCGAUAAGUAAUGUGAAUUGCAGAAUCCAGUGAAUCAUCGAAUCUUUGAACGCACAUUGCGCCCGCCAGCAUUCUGGCGGGCAUGCCUGUUCGAGCGUCAUUUCAACCCUCGACCUCCCUUUGGGGAAGUCGGCGUUGGGGACCGGCAGCACACCGCCGGCCCUGAAAUGGAGUGGCGGCCCGUCCGCGGCGACCUCUGCGUAGUAAACCAACUCGCACCGGAACCCCGACGUGGCCACGCCGUAAAACACCCAACUUCUGAACGUUGUCCUCGAAUCAGGUAGGACUACCCGCUGAACUUAAGCAUAUCAAUAAGCGGAGGA
rnacentral:misc_RNA from 1 species